rnacentral:lncRNA from 1 species
GUCUCUCUCCUUUCAGGGUUCAACCUCCAACCUUAUUUCUGCUUCCUUCAUGUUGGAAUUCACACUGUGAGUGCUGCUACCAUAUUCUGCGUUGGAUGUGAGUUCUCAAGUUCUGGUCCAUGGGGAAUGGGCAGGUGAAGAUGAGAAUUGCAAAAAACUAUACUCCGACCAAUAGAAUUGUUGUCAUCCUUUCUUUACGACUCCAAGAGAAACUUUAUACUGGAGGAAGAAUAUUCUACCACUUUGGGAUGCUUCCAAAGAAAUGGGACACCAAAGGAGUGAACUUCAGGUCAUUGGAAGUGGCCAAGCUGGAGGGCGACCUAUGGAGACAUGACCUUCAGUUCUUCCUGAGAUCAAUAAAGCUUAAAAGAAAAGAAAAAGCCAACUCAGCUUGUGCGUGGAUCCUGGACCUUGCUCUAAUACAGACCCCGCUCCUGGAGUGUAA